rnacentral:rRNA from 1 species
UACAGAGGUCUCAAGCGUUGUUCGGAUUCAUUGGGCGUAAAGGGUGCGUAGGUGGCAUGGUAAGUCGGAUGUGAAAUCCCCGGGCUUAACCUGGGAAUGGCAUUUGGGACUGCAAGGCUGGAGUGUGGCAGAGGAGACUGGAAUUCCUGGUGUAGCAGUGAAAUGCGUAGAUAUCAGGAGGAACACCGAUGGCGAAGGCAGGUCUCUGGGCAUUAACUGACGCUGAGGAGCGAAAGCAUGGGGAGCGAACAGG